AUCUGGACGAUACAAAAAGAAUCGUGUCGCAUGAAAUUUGAGCCCCACUGUACAUCGAAAAUUGCUUCUAUCUUCUGGCCAAUAGAAAAAAACUUAUUAAUAUAUUCUUAAAAGGUGUAAAACCUUUUCUGGACACUUCGCUAUUGUGGAAGUUCCUGAUUGGUUAAGAAGAAAUGUCUGUCUCUCGUAAAGAACCAACAUAGUCACAGACUACCAGUUAGACCUCUUGAAGUCUGUAUCUAGACCGUGUUUCGAAGUUGUGUGUGGUUUUCUGUGAUUGACAUCGCCGGUAGGAGGUUCGUAAAAUCUUCGCAGGUUUGAACUCUAUACAGCAAGAUCUACUGACUACGAAAUGGCCCCAUAGUCAGUUGCCUGUGAAUGGCAACACUGGCUUCACAGUCUGAAAAUGAAAUGGCUACACAGUUAAUGUCUAUGAAGAAUCGUCUCGACAAAAUGGCACCUCUUGCUAUGGAGAGUGGCUCUUGCUUAAAAUGUCCUGGAUACUGGUUUGAAGUUUUACGUGGCCAAUUCGAAUUGUUACUGGGCCAUUGAUCAAAACCGUGUCUUAAUGGACAUCUGUGCAGCCUGUCUGCAUACCAUGAGGAAUCAUUCGAAAAUACCAACUUCUUAAAAUUUGAUCUGGUCAGUCAGGCAUUCUGCAAGCAGUACCUGUUUGUAAUCACGAAGAGGCGUUCACUUUCACAAUGUGACCAUAGAGAUAUUUGGCUUCAUCAUUUAAUAUGAAUUCCACAUACUCAAUCAAGCUUGCUCUACAAAUCACUAAUUCAUCACCUACUAAAUUCAGUCUGGUUAACCAAGAAAUGUAAUUGGGACUUGUUGCUUGGCUAAUGAAAGUUUACAUCUGCAGAAAGUACCAUUGGACUAAACUGUAGCAAUGAUCAAGAAAGUCUUUCAAGAGAUUGAAAUACAUUUGAACCCGAGAUGUCAGUCCCAUUCUCUGUAUACAAAGCUGAGGAGCUAGUGGUGUUCAAAAAAAAAAAAAAAAAAAAAAAAAAAAAAAGAAAGAGAGAGAAAAAAAAAAGUCUGGUUUAACUGAAGUCAUGGUUACAAUCCAGCGGAGUUCAGCUUUAAAUGUGUUAAAACGGAGUCGUCUUCGAUACACCAUUCUCUUCGAAGAACGCGAAAAUCUUUGGUAUAGUAGUAUUUUCAAGUCGUCUUAUUUACUUCAGUGGUUACAGAAGAAUUGGUUCUCCAGCAGACUCGUUAGUCAUAACCACAAGAUCGAGAGCAUUUUUCAUAAAGUGGUUAUGUAAAAGACCAUGGUUGUAAGUGGAAGGUUUUUACCGCUAGUCUUGUAAUGGAAGAGUACAUCAAUCCUGUUUCAUUGAAGACUAUAAUCUACCUACUUUGCUCUCUGCUGUAUGUAGCCCAUUUCCUUGCGUCACUAAGAAUUUCCCUUAUAUAUUAAUAUAUACACUUUAUUUGCUGUAUCUUUAAAAAGCUUAAGUCAGA